rnacentral:rRNA from 1 species
UACAGAGGGUGCAAGCGUUAUUCGGAAUUACUGGGCGUAAAGAGAGUGUAGGCGGUUUAAUAAGUCUGAUGUGAAAGUCUGGGGCUCAACCUCAGAAGUGCAUUGGAUACUGUUAGACUAGAGUAUUGGAGAGGAAAGCGGAAUUUCUGGUGUAGAGGUGAAAUUCGUAGAUAUCAGAAGGAACAACGAAGGCGAAGGCAGCUUUCUGGACAAUAACUGACGCUCAAGCUCGAAAGCGUGGGUAGCAAACAGG